GACGUAGGGCGCGAGCGUUGUCCGGAUUCAUUGGGCGUAAAGAGCUCGUAGGCGGCUUGGCAAGUCGGGUGUGAAAACUCCAGGCUCAACCUGGAGACGCCACCCGAUACUGCCGUGGCUAGAGUCCGGUAGGGGAGCGUGGAAUUCCUGGUGUAGCGGUGAAAUGCGCAGAUAUCAGGAGGAACACCAGCGGCGAAGGCGGCGCUCUGGGCCGGAACUGACGCUGAGGAGCGAAAGCGUGGGGAGCGAACAGG
rnacentral:rRNA from 1 species